UUAGCAGCUUAGAACAGCGCCCAUUUAUUAUCUCGCAGGUUCUGUGGGUGAGGAGUCCUAGCACAGCUGAAUUCAGUCCUCUGCUCAGGGUCUCAGCAGGCUGCAAUAAAGGUGUCGGUCGGGGUGGGGUCCUCUCCCAAGCUCGUGUGGUUGUUGGAAGAAUUCAUUUCCUUACAGCUGAGAAUUCACAGCAGCUUCUUCAAGACCAGCAGGAGAGUGUCUCUCUCCUCCAGACCCUCCUUUAAGGGCUCACCUGAUUAGGUCAGGCCCACCCUGAAUAAUCUCCUUCUGAAUAACUCGAAGUGAACUGAUUAGGAACCUUAAUUACAUCUGCAAAGUCCCUUCAACUUUUCCAAGUUCUGUUGGUUAGAAGCCAGCCACAGGUCCCGCCCAUGCACAAGGAGAGAGAAUCAUACAAGGCACAUAUACCAGGGCGCUGGAAACUUGGGGGCCACUUAGAAUUUUGCCUACCAGAAAUAGGUCCUUGGUGGGGCUCCAAUAACCAGGAGGCUGCCAAAACAGAGAACCACAAAGAGGGUGGCUGAGAACAACAGAAAUUUUCCCUCUCACUGAAGUCUGAAAUCAAGAUGUGGACAGAGCCACGCUCCCUCUGAAACCUGGAGGGAAUUCUUCUUGUCUCUUCCUAGCUUCUCGGGGUCCGCUGGCGAUCCUUGCCGAGCCUUGGCUUGUAUCACCCCCAUCCUCCGUCCAACCCGUGGAGCUCUCCUGUGUCUCUCUCUCUGCAUGGCCAUCUUCUAGGGACACCAGUUAUUUGGAUUAGGGGCCCACCCCACUCCAGUAUGACCUCACCUCUGCAAUGGCCCUAUUUCCAAAUAAGGUCACAGUCUGAG
rnacentral:lncRNA from 1 species